rnacentral:misc_RNA from 1 species
GAGCCUCAAGAGUCAAAGGUUAGGUGCCUCACAAAUUCGGUCUUUGAUCUUAAAUCUAAUUCAUGACAUGCCUAUAACAUUCACACAUUUAAUGCAUGCCAUGUUUUCUUCUACUGCCAGGUGUCUCUGCAAAUGUUUGUUUCUUUCAUUAGGCUGGUUUAGUAUCUAAUGGCAUGCAAAAUUUUUGAAUGGCAGCUUGUGUGUUUCAUGCAUGACUGGUGAUAAGCGUGGCAGCUGUUUAUAUUAUUGUGAUGGUUUUAUGUUGGUAAUACAAAAUGGAGUUUUUGGCCAUGAUAAUCUUGUAUUUUGUUUGAUUUUAAAUAGGAGGUUUGGGGUUUGACUUGGCAUUUGUUGAAGUUUUGGGUAAUAAACAAAUAUAGUUUUUGUGUGC